rnacentral:rRNA from 1 species
GAUGAACGCUGGCGGCGUGCCUAAUACAUGCAAGUCGAGCGAACAGACGAGGAGCUUGCUCCUCUGACGUUAGCGGCGGACGGGUGAGUAACACGUGGAUAACCUACCUAUAAGACUGGGAUAACUUCGGGAAACCGGAGCUAAUACCGGAUAAUAUAUUGAACCGCAUGGUUCAAUAGUUAAAGACGUUUUUUCUGUCUCUUAUAGAUGGAUCCAGGCCGCAUUAGAUAGUUGUUAAGGUAACGGCUUACCAAGGCAACGAUGCGUAUCCGACGUGAGAGGGUGAGCGGGCAAAAUGGAACGGAGAAACGGUCAAGACACCGAAGGGAGGCAGCAGUAGGGAAAGUUACGCAAUGGGCGAAAGCAUGACGGAGCAACGCCGCGUGAGUGAUGAAGGUCUUCGGAUCGUAAAACUCUGUUAUUAGGGAAGAACAAAUGUGUAAGUAACUAUGCACGUCUUGACGGUACCUAAUCAGAAAGCCACGGCUAACUACGUG